rnacentral:rRNA from 1 species
GACGAACGCUGGCGGCGUGCCUAAUACAUGCAAGUAGAACGCUUAAGGAGGAGCUUGCUUCUCUGGAUGAGUUGCGAACGGGUGAGUAACGCGUAGGUAACCUGCCUGGUAGCGGGGGAUAACUAUUGGAAACGAUAGCUAAUACCGCAUAAGAGUAGAUGUUGCAUGACAUUUGCUUAAAAGGUGCAAUUUCAUCACUACCAGAUGGACCUGCGUUGUAUUAGCUAGUUGGUGGGGUAACGGCUCACCAAGGCGACGAUACAGUGCCUGCCUGCGAGGGGGAUACGCCAAACUGGGACUGAGGCACGGCCCAGAGUCCUACAGGAGGCAGCAGUAGGGAAUCUUCGGCAAUGGGCGGAAGUCUGACUGAGCAAAGACGCGGGAGUGAAGAAGGUUUUCGGAUCGUAAAGCUCUGUUGUAAGAGAAGAACGAGUGGGAGAGUGGAAAGUUCAUACUGUGACGGUAUCUUACCAGAAAGGGACGGCUAACUACGUG